ACUGCUAUCGGAUUGAUACUAAGCCAUGCGAGUCUUUGUAGUAAUACAAGGCAGACGGCUCAGUAACGCGUAGUCAACCUACCCUAUGGACGAGGAUAACCUCGGGAAACUGAGAAUAAUACUCGAUAGAUCAUUAUACCUGGAAUGGUUUAUGGUCCAAAUGAUUUAUCGCCGUAGGAUGGGACUGCGUCCUAUCAGUUUGUUGGUGAGGUAAUGGCCCACCAAGACUAUUACAGGUACGGGCUCUGAGAGGAGAGGCCCGGAGAUGGGUACUGAGACACGGACCCAGGUCCUAUGGGGCGCAGCAGGCGAGAAAACUUUGCAAUGUGCGAAAGCACGACAAGGUUAAUCCGAGUGUUUCCUGCUAAAGGAAUCUUUUGUCAGUCCUAGAAACACUGAUGAAUAAGGGGUGGGCAAGUUCUGGUGUCAGCCGCCGCGGUAAAACCAGCACCUCAAGUGGUCAGGAGGAUUAUUGGGCCUAAAGCAUCCGUAGCCGGCUGUGUUAGUUUUCGGUUAAAUCCAUGCGCUCAACGUAUGGGCUGCCGGGAAUACUGCAGAGCUAGGGAGUGGGAGAGGUAGACGGUACUCGGUAGGAAGGGGUAAAAUCCUUUGAUCUAUUGAUGACCACCUGUGGCGAAGGCGGUCUACCAGAACACGUCCGACGGUGAGGGAUGAAAGCUGGGGGAGCAAACCGGAUUAGAUACCCGGGUAGUCCCAGCUGUAAACCAUGCAAACUCAGUGAUGCACUGGCUUGUGGCCAAUGCAGUGCCGCAGGGAAGCCGUUAAGUUUGCCGCCUGGGAAGUAUGUACGCAAGUAUGAAACUUAAAGGAAUUGGCGGGGGAGCACCACAAGGGGUGAAG
rnacentral:rRNA from 1 species